rnacentral:rRNA from 1 species
AGAAUCAACGCUGGCGGCGUGCCUAACACAUGCAAGUCGAACGAGAAAGUGGAGCAAUCCAUGAGUAAAGUGGCGCACGGGUGAGUAACACGUGACUAACCUACCCUUGAGUGGGGGAUAACCUAGGGAAACCUGGGCUAAUACCGCAUAAUACCUUCGGGUCAAAGGAGCAAUUCGCUUUAGGAGGGGUCGCGGCCGAUUAGUUAGUUGGCGGGGUAAUGGCCCACCAAGACUGUGAUCGGUAUCCGGCCUGAGAGGGCGCACGGACACACUGGAACUGAAACACGGUCCAGACUCCUACGGGAGGCAGCAGUGGGGAAUUUGCGCAAUGGGGGAAACCCUGACGCAGCAACGCCGCGUGGAGGAUGAAGCCCCUUGGGGCGUAAACUCCUUUCGAUCGGGAAGAUAAUGACGGUACCGAGAGAAGAAGCCCCGGCUAACUUCGCGCCAGCAGCCGC